UUUAGUAGAAGGAGUUUGUUUAUCCAUGAUGGAGCGAGUGGAUUCAAUAUAUUAUUUUUCAGGGAAUAAGUGAACUAUUAUUAAUAUUAAAAAUAAUAAUUUUGGAUUUUUGUUUUGUUCAAAUAAAUAUUUUUCAAAAUUUUCAUAUAUUAUAUGUGAGUGGGUGUUUGUAAAUAUUUAAUAGUGUGAACGAAGGAUAGAGACAGAAAUAAAGGACAUAGGCGGAAGGGGAUCCAUGAUGGGUCGGUUCACUGAUCAGGAAAAUUUGAUUAAAUAAGGCUAAGGCCAUAAGAGCGGAUCGCUUUCGAAAGCUUUUGAACUAUUUGAAGCACAUGCAGGGUUCAAAAGAAAUUGUGAACGUGGGUGUGAAAAAGUUUGUGGUGGACGCAGAAAUUAAUCGGUAAAAUCAUUGCCUGCUAUCUGACUGUAGUCGCACUAGUUUUGAAAUCAAAGAAUCUAGCUGGAGUAAUGGUUUUUGAAGCUGCGGCCUGCAAUGAUUCAAUCAUAACACCACAUUUAAUUUAGACUGGACUUAAGAUCAUAACUGCUGAGUAAUAGAAGAUCUUGAACAACGUCUGGCUACUCUGGAUGGAGGAGAAGUUUAAUUUGAACAAUGUGGUACUUAUCUAGAACUCUACCACGUGUCAUGCCUCCAAGGCAACUUAGUCAUUCCUAUCUGAGAGGCCUCUUUUUGUCUGAAGGCUGUAAUCUGCCAUUAAUAUAAUCAAGAUUUGAAUAUUCUCGAUUAUUAUCAGUGAGGCAUCCUCUAAGAAAAGGUAAACUUACGCUUCUCCAGCAAUUUUAGCUCCCUAAAAACCUUCUGGAUUAUCCCAACUAAUCAAGGCUGUACAACAAUUCAAUCCCAGAUCACAAAGUUUUUUGAAGUUGGAGGAGGUCACAGCAAAUGAAUCAUAUCAACAGAUCAUUGGCAACAACUUUACAACUUUUCUAUUAGAUUUGAUAAAUAAAUGACAAUGCUAUAAAUAUUUAGAUUUGGGGAGAGGAAAUUCCCAAAUCAUCUCCAAGGGCUUGUACAUUAGGGCUUGUAUUUGCAAUUCAAUACCACUUCUACUUGAGUACAUACUUUAAAGGUACACAGCCCCUAAUUCAACUCCAUAAUAAUGUUAAAAAAAUGAAUACCAUCGACGAAAAAUAUCCUGCGGUACUUUGGAACAAUGCUGCAAUAUACACAUAAAAAAGUAUAUGAAAUUGUGUUAGUAUCUACUGUAUAUGUAUAUAACGUAGAAACAAAUGGAAAUAUGACAACAUAACAUGAUACUCUAUGAGUAUAAGUGAAAAAUAUUCCUAUUCAUGAAUGAAAAAAUUGGGAGAAAUGUUUUCAUUUAUUUUAGCAUCUCUAUUAUUAUUGUUAUGUAAAUCAUUAUUUAUGUGAAUUAUUUAAUAAUAUAUAUUAUUAAUGUACUUUUAUAUAUAUGCACCAAGUUUAUUGUUCAUACUGUUUAUAUAAUAUGAAGGAGUAAUUAAGAUGUAUUCCUCCCCCCACCAUAUUUAUCCUAAUGUAAUGUUCUUCAAGUUUUGAGAAUAUUUCUAUGCAUACAUACUUUAGUAUAACAAUUUAUUAACCUUUUAAUAUGAUAAAAAACCAUUUUAAAAGUUGGUAAAUAAAUGUUUUUUUUGUAUUAGUUAUAGAAUUAUAAAAAUGUCUUAUCUGGUCAGCUUUUAAAAACGGAUUUGUCACUAGUCUUAAGCUAUCUACAGCCGAGGACCGUAGUUAAGUUCCACAUGUUGGUGUGUAAAAAUGAGAUCAAAUCGAUAUGGACUAAAUCCUUGGAUAUAUUAACUCAUCCAAUAAAUAUAUAUAAAAUGUCUAUAAUUGACUCAAAUAUGCUUAUUAAAUAUUACGUAAUAUGUA
rnacentral:lncRNA from 1 species